AUAUUCUCCGCACAAGAGCAUUCAAGUUUCAGAAAACACUUUAAAAUGCAAUAAUUUAAAAUAUUUGUGAAACUUAUCGUUUUGCGCUAAAAUACAACAAUAUAUGGGGUAAAUUCGUCGUCAUUGUUUCUGUUUUGAAUACCAUAUUCGUGCCUGCCGGUAGAAAAAAUAGAGCGACAUACGGACAAGUAAGGUGAUUAAUUUGUAUGAUGAAUACCACGGAAAAUCUUUUGCAUCAAAAUUUCUUAGUCUGUUCCAAUAGCAGUCCGGUUUACAAGAUUUAGUCAGAACUUACAGGA